rnacentral:rRNA from 1 species
CCUACGUGGGGCAGCAGUGGGGAAUAUUGCGCAAUGGGCGAAAGCCUGACGCAGCGACGCCGCGUGAGGGAUGAAGGUCUUCGGAUCGUAAACCUCUGUCAGCAGGGAAGAACGGUCACUGUGCUAAUCAGCAGUGAAUUGACGGUACCUGCAAAGGAAGCACCGGCUAACUCCGUGCCAGCAGCCGCGGUAAUACGGAGGGUGAGAGCGUUAAUCGGAAUUACUGGGCGUAAAGCGCUCGUAGGCGGUAUGUCAAGUCAAGGGUGAAAUCCCCGCGCUCAACGUGGGAACUGCCUUUGAAACUGGCAAACUGGAGGUUGUGAGAGGAUAGUGGAAUUCCAGGCGUAGGAGUGAAAUCCGUAGAUAUCUGGCGGAACAUCAGUGGCGAAGGCGACUAUCUGGCACAUAACUGACGCUGAGGAGCGAAAGCGUGGGUAGCAAACAGGAUUAGAUACCCGAGUAGUC